AUUCCGUAGGAUUAACAUCGUGCAACGUUAACCUUGUUCUUGAUUUAAGAAGAAACGUAUUCCUUCCAAUCAGAGAGCAGCUACGGCCCAAUGCUCGACGAAUCAGUACGCUCGGUGUCAGUCUAGUGCUGGAUCUCGUGGGGGUAGGACGUGUGGACUACAACGGAAAAUUUUCGGUUUACAUUUUCGUAUGUCGCACGACUUUGCGCCGAACAAAUCCCCUCUCCAAUUUAUAAUUUCGUAAACGAAGUCGUGACACGGAAUAUCAUUCUAUUAUCGAAAGUUGAACUAGUAGAACGCUUUGCUACAGAAAAUUUUUGUGACCGAGCGCAAUGCGGUCAAUAGAGUCAGUGUUUGUUUCGUGAUAAAGUAUUUUUUAUAUUUUUUAGAGCAAAGCUGCUCUAAUUCAAUUUAAUUUUAAUAAUUAUUCGCGAAAUUAGAAUCAGUGUUUGUUCGCCGAAUAUCAAUUACGAACGCGUCAAUAGUCUUUUAUUUUUUUUUGUUUUUCUCUCUAAAUUUUCGUUUUCGGUACAGGAUAAAGUCAGUGUUUCUCUCAAGAAUAUAAGGCGAUCAUCCGUCACGCGAAGAGGUAUUAUCGUAUUCCCUGGAUUUUUUAAAAAAAUUUUUGUGAUCGCGCAAUGCGAUCGAUAGAGUCAGUGCUUGUUUCGUAAUAAAGUAUAUUUAAUAUUUUUUAGAGCAUAAUUGCUCCUAUUCAAUUUAAUUGUAAUAAUCAUUCGCGAAAUUAGAGUCAGUGUUUGUUUUCCGAUUAUAAAUUAAACGUUAUGUUAAUACAUUUUAUUUUUAAUUUUUUUUUCUCUAUAAAUUUUUAUUUUCGAUACAAAGUAGAAUCAGUGAGUGCUUCUUUCAAGAAAAUAAGGCGAUCAUCCAUCACGCGAAGAGUUUUCCUGCUCCUAUUUGAUGACAACUUCGCAAUGGGUCAUGGCAGCAUUGAUAACAACGCAGAUUCUUCGCAUCUAAUGGUGAGUCGCAUGCAUUUUGAUUCCUCUGGUCAUUCAAUCAUGUCAUAGGAUGAAAGAUCCGAACUGACACGGGUGACUAGUUGUAUACGUAGAAUUUUGUACGAAUACAGUGACCGCGGGUAUUUAUUAUACUCGUGAAUAGUAACAUUCCAUUUGUCUGUGUAUUAUUUAUUAGAUCAGGCUAGGUUUUCUUGCACAUCGCGUUUUUAACAAAACAGAAUAAUAUUAAUAAUUAACAUUAUAUAAGUAAAAUUUUAAGAUAAUAGUAAAAUUAAUAUACAAUAAUAAUCAUGAUGCAUAAUAACGUAAGUUGUUUAUUAUCACGUGAUGAUAAAUAACAUUUAAUUACAGUAUUUCUUCAUAAUGCAUCGAAAAAAUUAUUUAAUUAUUUGUUACAAACUUAAGUUUGAUUUAAAGUAUAAAAAUAUUUAAUUUUUCAUGCUUCUUUUUCUUAUAAAAAUGUAAUAAAAUAUAGGUGCAAGAAAGCAUUUCGCGACAGGUAGAUUUUUAAAUCAAAGCAAUAAGUUUUGAAUAUUAUUUUGAAUACUAUUUUCGAAAAACUGCUUUGAUAAAAAGAUCGCCUGAGGUUUUAUUAAUAUUAUUAUUUUCAUUAAUAUUUGAUUUAAUAUUUGAGUCAAUAAUUUUUAAUUAUCAUAAAUAAUUUUUUUAUUCAUUGUUUAUAUACAUAUAUAUUUUUUCUUUGUUUAAUUAAAGUUGAUAGUUGUAAAUUAAAUUUGUAAAGAUUUUUUAAAUUUUAAUUUGUAAAGAUUUAUUAAAAUUUGCAAUAAACAAAAAUAUUAAAGAAUAUUAGCCCGUUAGAUUGGAAACUAAUGCUUUUUUUAGCUCAGGAUUUUCAGAUUUAACCCCUUCCGUGUUCAUUGCCAGGAAUUCGUUCAAGUGCCCAGGUGCUACUUGAAUGAAGGAGAGGCAAUGAGCAUGAUGACUCUAGUUAAUAAGUUAAUAAAAAUUUUUCAGCGAUUGACGAUGUAUUAGUGUAUCGUGCACGACGUAUUUUUCGCAUUAUGUGUGUAUGGUUAGGCUGUGGAAUUGCGUCGUUAUUCAUAACAACUAUUUCAUUCACAAUUGUUAUUUACAUACAAUAAUAAUUUUGCAUUCGCUAAUAAGUACUGCGGAUUAUAAAUAAUUUAUUAGUUUAAUAUUAAAUUAUAAAAAUCGUAUCAAUGCCUAUAUCAUUUCUUUAAUAGUCAUACAUAUUAUUUAUUAAUGGUAGAUAAUUACAAUUAAAAUAUAUGCGUUUUUAUCGCAAUUUACGCAAUGGUCGCUAGACAUCGUCAAUUGAUUUCAGGAAAAUGGUACGUAAAGUUAGAGUAUGCGAGUAGUGUGUCAAGCUCGGGUGUCGGAGGCGUCCCGGGACGUUUUCCCUAGUGUAGGCAUUUGCGCCCGAGUAUUAUGUGUGAGAAUCGUGGAAUGAAUGUGUUGGUAUGCCUGUUUUGCCAUUUUUUAAAUAUAGGGCUAGGUAGGAUAGGUAAUAUACUUCUGGUGUGUCUGUUAAUUAUAAGUAGGUAGGGCCGGGCAGGUUGUCACAGUCUCUGAUCGGGUAGGCGCGUUUUCGCGUGACAACUUGUUUCAGGAAAUAAAAUUUGAAGAAUCGAAAGUAAAGCUGAGACGAAUGGAUUAUGCCAUUCGUUUCUGGUUCUGCUCGUCGAUUUUUCGAAUUCCGCGGUCGCGGUCGUGAAUUAUUUCGAAACGAACGUUGCGCUCGAGAUUUUGCAUAUGUACGGAGAAUGAUCAUUGUGAUCGUUGGUCGUUCAUGUGCACUUAGUUUCCGCGAUUUAGU